rnacentral:rRNA from 1 species
UACGGAGGAUCCAAGCGUUAUCCGGAAUCAUUGGGUUUAAAGGGUCCGUAGGCGGUCUUAUAAGUCAGUGGUGAAAGUUUGCAGCUUAACUGUAAAAUUGCCAUUGAUACUGUAGGACUUGAAUUUUUGUGAAGUAACUAGAAUAUGUAGUGUAGCGGUGAAAUGCAUAGAUAUUACAUGGAAUACCAAUUGCGAAGGCAGGUUACUAACAAAUGAUUGACGCUGAUGGACGAAAGCGUGGGUAGCGAACAGGAUUAGAUACCCUGGUAGUCCACGCUGUAAACGAUGGAUACUAGUUGUUUGGUUUUCGGACUGAGUGACUAAGCGAAAGUGAUAAGUAUCCCACCUGGGGAGUACGAACGCAAGUUUGAA